CUCUUUCCUCCCAUCCAAUCCCUCCCGUUGCCCUCCUCUCGGUCCCAGUAUCCAUUUCUCCCUCCCAUUUCCCUCCUUCCCUUUUCUCUCUCCCCCCCUCUUUCUUGUCUCACCAAUCCUGUGCCUAGCCCUGCCACGCCCAUCCUCCCUUCCUUCCUCUUCAUGUUCACAAUCGCUUCUCCCUCAUCCUCUCCUCCUCUCCCCUCCCUCCCCAUCUCUGCUUCCUAUCUAUCAUCUUCCCCUGGUUCCUCUGCACGCCCCUCCGCCCCCUAGCCUUGCCCUUUCUCCCUCCCUUCUGUCCGCCCAGCGCCUCCUCCCUCUUUGUCUCCUCCCCUCGCUCCGCUCAGGUCCUGUCUCUCUUUAGCCCCGCCCCUCCCAUCCUCCUCUUGGAUGCCCCGCCCCCGAUGACCACGCCUUCCGUGGCCCCGCCCCGCGCAGCAGCGACAAGAUGGCG
rnacentral:lncRNA from 1 species